UCGGAUAUAGUUGGCAUGCCAUAGGAUUAAAAGUGUUCAGGAAUGCUUCGACCUCGAGUCGAUGAGACACUGGAUGUCACUAUUUUACUUCGGAUAGAUUCGAUGAGGUACUGGGUACCACUUUACUUCGGCUAGGCUGAUGAGACAUUGGGUGUCAACUUUGCUUCGAACUAUCCGAUGAGGCACUUGGUGCCAAAUUGGUGUGUUUGGUUGGAUCCGUAUAUCCGCCAAAGUCCGAAUCUGUUAAUAGGGGUAAUUAAAAGAAUAGUUAAGUUGAAUAAAAGGAAUCGGUUGAGCCAUUGUAAGAAAUGUAAAAAUGGAACAUGAAUUGAAAAUGUGAUUUGAAUGUGAGUAUGAGAAUGGAAAGUAUGAAUUAAUGGUUCAUGGAAUGGACAAUGGCUCAACAUGAAUGUUUAUGAUUUCAAUUGACGAAUAGCUAAAUUCAAUCGUAUGAAUAUAUUGAGAAUGACAAAUUUAUGUUUGAAUUGGUUUAGUAAAUAUUAAAGUUAGAUGAUUUAAUUUACAUGAUUAUUAUGUUUAUAAUUUAAAUUAUGGUAAUACCAUUGAGUAUAAAAUACUUAGCGUACAGUUGUUUCCGUACGCAAGUUAAUAAGUAUUCAGAGUCUUGGUUCAGCAUCCAGGCGAUCCUGACUCCAGCUCAAAACUCGGUGAUGUAUUCUUCUUUUGGCAAAAGUGGCUUGUACAUAGGUGUUAAUUUGGUCACUUGAAAAUGCUAUAUAAUUUUUGUUGUAAAGAAUGAUAUUUGGUAUAAUUAAUACUACCAUGAUCUUUUGAUACUUAGUUUAAUGAAAUGGAAAUAGAAUUAUCAUAACAUAUUUGGUAUAGUUGGGAACAAGUUGAAAUAGAAUUAAUGAAGUUUAUUUAAUUAAACAAUAUAUGCGAAUGUUUACUUAGUAAAUUACUGAGUUGAUGUUGAACUAUGUUUAAGUGUACUUAAAUAUGAAAUUGUAUGGAUUGUGAUAUUAGUUUUGAAUUGGUUGCGAUUUGAAUUUGCAAAGAAGGUUAAAUAUUUAUGAAGGUGUUAUAUUGAAUUUUUUUCUAAAAAAAAGAAAGAAAAAAAGAGUCAAUUAGCAAAAGUUUUAUAUGAACUUAUGAUUAUAUUAUAACGAUAAUUAUUUGAAUAUUAAUCGUAAAUUAUCCGAUUAUUCGGUAAUGCCUCGUAACCCUGUUCCGGCGACGAUUUAGGGUUAGUGGGUGUUACAGUAAUAAUAUCAGGGAGAGGUUGGACAGAAGGGUUGCAAAUCUAGAGUGGUGAGAUCUUUUUCCAGGUUAUAGGGUGAGCCACUUACAACAUAAUUUUUCGGAUCAUUGCCUGGUGGUUGUGGAUACAAAUAGGGAUAGAAGGUCAAGAGUUGGGGAGCAACAGUGGAAAUUUUGAAUCAACAUUGAUUGGAUAUUGCAUUCAAGUUUUGAGGAGCAAUUAAAAUAUGAGUAGAAUUCAAAUAAACAGGAUAUUUUGGUGAAAUUAAAGGAAUUGGGAAUGAGUUUGAAUUUUUAGGCAACAAAAGAGAAAAAACUAAGGGAAAGUCGAACUGUAGAAUUAAAUGCUAGAUUAUUUGAAUUAAGUGCUAGUGAGAUAAGUGAUGCGGCAUUGAAGGAGAUUACAAAGAUUAAAUUAGAUCUGAAUUUCAAAGUUGAUAAGGAGGAGAUUUUUCGGGAACAAAGGACGAGAAUCAAUUGGCUUCGAAUGGGGGACAGAAAUACAGCUUUCUUUCAUAGAAGUGUUUCAUAUCGCAAGAAGAAAAAUAUGGUUAAGGGGCUGGAAAACGAAUAUGGGAAUUUGAUUACUAAUUUUGAUGAAAUUUCCAAAACAGUAGCAAAUUAUUUUAAAGACUUGUUUUCGUUGAAAAAAGUCAGCAACUGUGAUAGAUUACUUGCGUCAUUCUCACUAUGCAUUAUGGAAGAUCUUAAUAAGGAAUUAAUGGCGGAAUUUAAAGCAGAAGAGAUUGUUGUGGCAAUGAAAUCUAUAGCCCCUCUUAAAGCAUCAGGCAAGGACGGGUUCCCUACAAUAUUUUAUCAAAAAUAUUGGCAUGUUAUUAGGGAUGAAGUUACUAAUUACUACUUGGAUGUUUUAAACAACCGAAGAGACAUGGAAGAGAUUAACAAAACAAGUAUUGUUCUUAUUCCUAAGGUGAAUUCGCCAAAGUCAAUGAACCAAUUUCGACCCAUUAGUCUUUGCAAUGUAAUCUAUAAAGUUAUCUCGAAGGUGUUAGUUCACAGGUUUUGCCAGGUUUCACAAGGUUCUGAACUAUUGUAUUGAAGAUAAUCAAGGGACGUUUGUUCUAGGAAAGCAAAUUACAGACAACAUUUUUGUGGCUUAUGAAAUUUUGCAUUCAUUCAAGAAAAGAAGAGGGCCAUCAGAGAAAGUCUUUGCUUUAAAGCUUGAUAUGAGCAAAGCGUAUGACAACAUUGAAUGGAGUUUUUUUAGAAAAAAUAAUGUUCAGAAUGGGCUUUUGUGAAGAAUGGAUCUCAAUCAUAAUGAGGUGUAUCACUAGUGUAGUGUAUACAGUGAUGAUUAAUGGAAGACAUAAAGAAGAAUUUCAGCCUCAAAGAAGGCUCAGAUAAGGGAAUCCACUAAGCUCAUAUUUGUUCAUUAUUUGUGGUGAAGGUUUUUCACGAUUAAUCACAUUAGCUAAAGAGGAGGGGCGGCUUUCUGCGACAAAGGUGGGAAGAGGUAAUGUCUCGGUGUCACACCUAUUUUUUGCUAAUGGCAAUGUGUUGUUUGGAGAGGCAUCUAUUGAAGGAGCAAAUAAUAUAAAGAAUGUGAUUAAAAAGUAUGAAAAGGUAUAGGGACAAUUGGUUAAUUUUGAUAAGUCUCUAAUCUAUUUCAGCAAUAAUGUUGAUUUAGAAAUGCAAGAAUAGGUGGGAAGAAUUUUGGGGGUAAAGAUAUCCAAUAACCCAGAAAGGUAUUUGGGAUUGCCAACUAUGGUAGGAUGUCGAAAAAAGCAUGCUUUUGUUGAUAUCAAAGAACGCUUUGUUAAACUGUUGCAUAACUAGAGUGUGAGUUUUUUAUCGGCUGGGGGUAAGGAGGUAUUUUUAAAAUCUGUUUUGCAAGCGAUAUUGAUCUAUGCGAUGCAAUGCUACAAGUUACCAAUUUCUUUUUGUUAAGAGCUCAAGAGCAUUAUGUGUAAAUUUUGGUGGCAUAAUUCUAAGACAAACAAAUGCAUACAUUGAUGCAAGUGAAGUGAUAUGUGUAUCCCCAAAGCAAAGGGAGGUUUGGGUUUUAAAGAAUUGUCAAAGCUUAAUUUGGCCCUGCUAGCGAAGCAGGGGUGAAAAAUUAUUACACAGCCUAAUUGUUUGUUUACACGCGUCAUGAAAGCAAAAUAUUUGUUAAAAGGGGAAUUCAUGAGUGCAGGUUUAGGUUCUUACCCUUCGUAUACCUGAGAAGUAUUUGAGGAGCUAGACAACUUCUUGAAGAGGGGAUCGGAUGGCGAAUACAAUAAACAUAUGGAAUGAUGCAUGGCUGCCGAGGGUUGGAAAUGGUAGGGUAUAAGGUCAGAACAUCGAUAUUAGAUAUACUAAAGUGUUAGAUUUAAUCGACAAGGAAACUACUACUUGGAAGCAAGAUACUAUUCGAGCGUUAUUCGGAGCGGAGCAGCUUGAAAACAUUCUCUUGAUCCCAUUGGCGUGUGUAGUGAAGCAAAGGAUGUGCUAAUACGGAGAAGUGACAAUACAAGGGGUUUAUAUAGUUAAAAGUGGCUACAAAUGGCUAAUUACAGCAGAGGGACCUAGAUUACAGAAUGAAAUUCCAACUACUUUCUUUACAAAGCUAUGGGUUCUUAAGGUGCCAAGCAAAAUCCGAAUACAUAUGUGGAGAAUUGCUAAUGAUUAUAUACCCAUUUUACAUAAUCUAAGAGUUCGUAAACUGGUUGUAAAUACACUUUGUCCGGUUUGUCAAGAAGAUGAGGAAAUGGUGAGUCACCUAUUCAAAGAUUGCACCUUUACAUAGUAGGUAUUGAGCGGGCUGGGAGCGACAAAUCCAACAUGCAACAGAGAAUCCAAUUGGAAAAACGAUUCAGUCGAUAUAGUCUCUCCAAGCGGUUUUGUCGAGCAGGGCCUCAUUCACUUGAUUCAUUUGAUGAAUGCCUAAUCCUCCCUUUAGGCGUACAGACAUCCCCCCAAGCCAGAAUCUUUCAUUUUUUGAAUCUCUUUCACCCAUUUAAAUUUAAACAAACGAAAAAUUUUGUCAGAAAAACUAAAAAUUUAGAUGUCUGCAUGACGUAACAAAAAAUGGUUAGCGACAGAGUUUAACAAUCUGAGCACUGAAGCAUGUAAAAUCAGAACUAUUGCCUACUGGGCUAUUUGGUACAAUCGCAACAAGAUACAUCAUGAAGGAGUACGAGAACAAAUAAAUGAAGUAGUAGGGUUUGUCAAUGCUUUUUGUGUAGAAAUAGCUUUUAUGGGGUAUAUAUCAAAGAAUGCGCAGGAAGCUAACAGUUAUGAAUGGAAACCACCGGAGAAUGAUACUAUAAAAAUUAAUUUUGACGCUUUGUUCAAUCAACAUUUGAGAAUAUCUUGUUCAGGAAUCAUAGCACGAAAUAAAGAAGGUUUGGUGAUGGCAGCAUGUACCUUUCCAUGGGAGAAUAUCGCAGAUCCGGUUAUGGUCGAGGCAAGGGCGUGUUUGCAGGCCAUUACUAUGGCAGAGGAAAUGGGUUUCCAGGAUAUUUGUGUUGAAGGAGAUACGUUAACCAUAAUACACAAAUUAAACUCUGUAGAAGAAGAUAAAUCUGAAAUUAGUAGUCUAAUUAAAGAAAUCAAAGGGAGAAUCCCCAAAUUUAGAAGAAUGAGUUUUAAGUACAUACCAAGGGAAGCCAACAAAGCGGCUCACGGGAUGGCAAUAGAAGGAUGUCGGCAUGAAAACCCCCAAUACUAAAUAGAGGAGGUCCUGUACGCGGUGGAAGGGCUGGUGAAUCGCGCUAAGAGAAGCGACGGAGACGAAGGAUAGAUGGAAAAAUAGAGUCCGGACUUUGCGACAUUUUUUCUGCCCAAUGAACUCGUGAUCUUGACCAAGAAUAAGGCUUCAAAGAUUUGAUUUUGGGUGAUAAUCGAUCUCUUUGAGUAGCUGAUACACAAUUCAAACGACAGAGAAGAAGAGUUUCCAGGCCCGAGUUUCUUUGAGUUUUGACGUUUCAUUUCAUUUUCUUGUGUUUUAAUGAACAGUUUAUUUUACUUUAUUUUUUUUCUCUAUUUGAUGAUUUUCAAUGCACCGUUUUGGUGCCUUACAGGAAAAAGACAGCUGUAGGUUGCUUUAUUAAUGCUUGUAACCAUAAGAAUUACUUCUUUCAUUAAUAAAAGUAUCAG
rnacentral:lncRNA from 1 species